rnacentral:rRNA from 1 species
GACGAACGCUGGCGGCGUGCUUAACACAUGCAAGUCGAACGGAAAGGCCCUGCUUGCAGGGUGCUCGAGUGGCGAACGGGUGAGUAACACGUGGGUGAUCUGCCCCUUACUUUGGGAUAAGCCUGGGAAACUGGGUCUAAUACUGGAUAGGACCAUGCUGUAGGUGGUGUGGUGGAAAGAUUAGUUUCGGUAAGGGAUGAGCUCGCGGCCUAUCAGCUUGUUGGUGGGGUAAUGGCCUACCAAGGCGUCGACGGGUAGCCGGCCUGAGAGGGUGGACGGCCACAUUGGGACUGGGAUACGGCCCAGACUCCUGCGGGAGGCAGCAGUGGGGAAUAUUGCACAAUGGGCGCUAGCCUGAUGCAGCGACGCCGCGUGGGGGAUGACGGCCUUCGGGUUGUAAACUCCUUUCAGCCAUGACGAAGCCUUCGGGUGACGGUAGUGGUAGAAGAAGCACCGGCUAACUACGUG